rnacentral:tRNA from 1 species
CGGGGCGUAGCGCAGUCUGGUAGCGUACUUGGUUUGGGACCAAGGGGUCGCAGGUUCGAAUCCUGCCGCCCCGA